UUGCACGCUGGCGGCAGGCCUAACCCCUGCCAGUCGAGCGGAUGAAGGGAGCUUGCUCCUGGAUUCAGCGGCGGACGGGUGAGUAAUGCCUAGGAAUCUGCCUGGUAGUGGGGGAUAACGUCCGGAAACGGGCGCUAAUACCGCAUACGUCCUGAGGGAGAAAGUGGGGGAUCUUCGGACCUCACGCUAUCAGAUGAGCCCAGGUCGGAUUAGCUAGUUGGUGGGGUAAAGGCCUACCAAGGCGACGAUCCGUAACUGGUCUGAGAGGAUGAUCAGUCACACUGGAACUGAGACACGGUCCAGACUCCUACGGGAGGCAGCAGUGGGGAAUAUUGGACAAUGGGCGAAAGCCUGAUCCAGCCAUGCCGCGUGUGUGAAGAAGGUCUUCGGAUUGUAAAGCACUUUAAGUUGGGAGGAAGGGCAGUAAGUUAAUACCUUGCUGUUUUGACGUUACCAACAGAAUAAGCACCGGCUAACUUCGUG
rnacentral:rRNA from 1 species